ACAUGAAUUCAAUUUGUUAAUGUUUGGCCUCUGCCCCGGGAGGGCCCUGCCAGGAGCUUUAGGAUAAAACAACUCAGCAGAGCUCUAGGCAAGAGUUGACGAGACCUUCUCAAGAGCCACUGGUUCUGCCAAGGACCUCCUCCCUGCCUAGCAUGUGAAGACACUUUGGCAAAGCCUGGCACAGAACCUGCUAGUGAAGUCACCUAUCCCUUUUCAGGGUCCCUUAAAGGGCCAGGAGUGGCAAAUUUAAACACAGAGUUGCCUUCAGUGCUCCCAGGCGCUAGGAUGGGACUUCAGGGAGCUGCCAGCAGGAGCUAUUUUUAUGGAUUCCUUGGGAUUUUCUGAGUAGAAGAUCAUGAAACUGGUGGAUACGGACAGCUUUAUUUCUUCCUUUCCAAUCUACCUUUUCUUUUAAAAUUCAUUAAAGUGCCCAGGAGUUCUUUCGAAUGGAAUCCAUCAUGAGAUAAUUUGGAUCCUCCAUAGGCUAAUAAACAGCGGCCAGGAAAAUUCAGCUUUUAUCGUCACUAAAAGUUUACCAGACAUUGGAGCUUCUGGUUCUCAGGGCUUUGGACUCAGACUGAAUUAUACGACCUGUUUUCAGCUUCUCCACCUUACAGAUGGCAGACUGUGGGACUUCUUAGCCUCUAUAACCACGCAGACUCCAGUUGCAAACCUGACCCUACGGUUUUGGGCUAUGUCCCUGGCAGAGGACAUGGGAUUAUCAGGUCUUAUGUUCUGAUGCUACACUAAUGUCAUUGCAGCUAGUGGAUGCCAUUGACUCACAGUGAUUUCAGUUAACAAACAAGGACAUAGGAUCUCUACACAAUUUUCAAAUAUCAUGAAGCCAUGAACAUGAUUACAGCUUUCUCAUUUUACAGGCUAGACAACGUCCUGAGAGGAUUCGUUAUGAGAAUAGUGUCAAUCAUAGCUUUAAGACCUUGCUUUGGAAGGAACUGAUGAGAAAGCAGAUUGGAAGGUAAAGUCCAGCACUUCAUUUAUACAAAGUCUGUUAGAAGAGGUCAGUAGAGAUCAUUUAAUCUCACGUCGUGAAAUCAUCCAUUCAAGUCCUUGGCAUAGUCCCUCACUAGUAAGAACAGAGCAUGC
rnacentral:lncRNA from 1 species